GAUGAACGCUGGCGGCGUGCCUAACACAUGCAAGUCGAACGGGGGCAGGAGGAAGCCUAGCGAAUCCUGCCCGAGUGGCGGACGGGUGAGUAACGCGUGGACAACCUGCCGCAUGCAGGGGGAUACCGGCUGGAAACAGCCGCUAAUACCGCAUAUGCGCACGGCGCCGCAUGGCGCCGCGCGGAAAGGGAGCGAUCCCGGCAUGCGAUGGGUCCGCGUCCGAUUAGCUUGUUGGCGGGGCAGCGGCCCACCAAGGCGACGAUCGGUAGCCGGCCUGAGAGGGCGGACGGCCACAUUGGGACUGAGACACGGCCCAG
rnacentral:rRNA from 1 species